rnacentral:rRNA from 1 species
UACGUAGGGUGCGAGCGUUAAUCGGAAUUACUGGGCGUAAAGUGUGCGCAGGCGGCAGAGCAAGUCGAGUGUGAAAGCCCCGGGCUUAACUUGGGAAUUGCGCUCGAAACUACUUUGCUGGAGUGUGGCAGAGGAAGGUGGAAUUCCGACGUGUAGCGGUAAAUAGCGUAGAGAUGUGGAGGAACACCAAUGGCGAAGGCAGCCUUCUGGGCCCAACACUGACGCUCAUGCACGAAAGCGUGGGGAGCAAACAGG